rnacentral:rRNA from 1 species
AUGAGGAGAAAGCAGACCUUGCAUAUUGCAUCAAUCAUAGCGAUGAAGAAACUCUCGUUGUUCAUGGGGCUGCUUGUGCUUCUGUUGUUUCCAGUGCUGUCGCGACAAGACGGUUUUGAUCAACAGGUGGCAUUGCAAGAGACUAAGAGUAGUGUAGCCACAUUGACACUUGACGCCAAGCUCUCCAUAGCAGAAGCCUCAAGGCUUGGUAAUAGCAUUGACCCAGACACUAUCUUUGGUGGUGAAGAUGGCUUGUACAAGAACAUCAUGUUCCGUGAGAAGGUGUUCAUGGAAAAGGUAACCCUUCGUCACACUAUGACCAAGGGCAAGGAUGGCAUGCUCCUCGGCUCUAGUGGUAGUAGCACUGUUACCAUAGAGUUUGACUAUUUCAUUGCCUAUGGUAUUAUCAUCAAGAAUGAUGCACUUCCUUCCAAGGCGGGCGGCAAACAAGUGCACGCCACUGCGUUGCAUGUCAUGGGCACAAAGGCAAUUUUCUAUAACUGCACCGUCGAGGCCGGCCAGAGAGCCUUUAUCAUCUCUACUAACAAAGAUAUCACCAACAUGGUAGUGGCACAAGAGGGGCGGGCCAGCGAGAGCCGUAUCAACCGUGAGAGCGGUUUCUCCUUCAAGAAUUGUACCAUCAAGGGUGAGGGGAAACCAAUAUUCUUAGGAAGGGCAUGGGGGAAAUUCUCGCAGGUACUUAUAUCCCUUUUCCCAUCUGACGACGGGCGUGGGUACAAUUUCGCUUUUGUUUCUCCGCCCCCGACGUCCGCACCGAGCCCCUCUCCCUCAACCAUCUCUUCGCCCUCAUGUCCAACUUCGAUCGGAGGGUCGAACUAUUCUAGGGCGCUGAUGGCAACUUCAAAUUGUCCGCUAAUGCCGCUGCUCAUGGCGCCGUGGUCCACCCAAGGGCUACCGUGGCAAACCGCGAAGUAA